rnacentral:rRNA from 1 species
AUUGAACGCUGGCGGCAGGCCUAACACAUGCAAGUCGAGCGGAUGAAGGGAGCUUGCUCCUGGAUACAGCGGCGGACGGGUGAGUAAUGCCUAGGAAUCUGCCUGUUAGUGGGGGAUAACGUCCGGAAACGGGCGCUAAUACCGCAUACGUCCUGAGGGAGAAAGUGGGGGAUCUUCGGACCUCACGCUAUCAGAUGAGCCUAGGUCGGAUUAGCUAGUUGGUGGGGUAAAGGCCUACCAAGGCGACGAUCCGUAACUGGUCUGAGAGGAUGAUCAGUCACACUGGAACUGAGACACGGUCCAGACUCCUACGGGAGGCAGCAGUGGGGAAUAUUGGACAAUGGGCGCAAGCCUGAUCCAGCCAUGCCGCGUGUGUGAAGAAGGUCUUCGGAUUGUAAAGCACUUUAAGUUGGGAGGAAGGGCAGUAAGUUAAUACCUUGCUGUUUUGACGUUACCCAAAGAAUAAGCACCGGCUAACUUCGUG